CGGGCGGCCGUGACCCUGCUGGAGUCCGGGGGGGACCUCCAGCCCCCCGGGGGGUCCCUGCGCCUCCUCUGCCGAGGACAAGGAUUCGAGUUCGGGAAAUUCAGCAUGUUCUGGAUCCGGCAGAGACCCGGGAAGGGGCUGGAAUUUGUCGCAUGGAUCCGCAGCACUGGGGUGGAAACCAAGUACGCGCCGUCGGUGGAGGGCCGGUUCCGGAUCUCCAGGGACAACGGGCAAAGCUCGGUGACGCUGAGCAUGAACAACCUCCAGGACGAGGAUUCCGGGGUUUAUUUCUGUGCCAAAUGCCUUGAUGGCGGGUGUGGUGCCGGCAGCCUCUGA